rnacentral:rRNA from 1 species
UACGGAGGGGGCUAGCGUUGUUCGGAAUUACUGGGCGUAAAGCGCACGUAGGCGGCUUUGUAAGUUAGAGGUGAAAGCCCGGAGCUCAACUCCGGAAUUGCCUUUAAGACUGCAUCGCUAGAACGUCGGAGAGGUGAGUGGAAUUCCGAGUGUAGUGGUGAAAUUCGUAGAUAUUCGGAAGAACACCAGUGGCGAAGGCGACUCACUGGCCCAUUACUGACGCUGAGGCACGAAAGCGUGGGGAGCAACCAGG